CAGCGCCAUUAAUGAUCCAACUUGGUAGCUCUGGAGGCCUUCCUAUGGUUUCUGUGUACCGUUUGAUCAACUCUGCAGAAUUUCAAAUGAAGAAAGGAUCAAAAUGCAAUAUUUGUAUCUUCAAAGGAAGUCUCUUCGGCUGGAGAAGCAUGAGACCCGAUGUCGUCUUCUAACUCGAACCUGCUUCCACCUCUUACCAU